GCCCUUAUAGCUCAGUGGUACGAAGCGCGUCACUCGUAGUAAUGAUAUCAUACUAGUGAAUGACGAGGUCCGCGGUUCAAUCCCGCGUGGGGGCA